rnacentral:rRNA from 1 species
UACGAAGGGGGCUAGCGUUGCUCGGAAUUACUGGGCGUAAAGGGCGCGUAGGCGGAUAUUUAAGUCGGGGGUGAAAGCCCAGGGCUCAACCCUGGAAUUGCCUUCGAUACUGGAUAUCUUGAGUUCGGGAGAGGUGAGUGGAAUGCCGAGUGUAGAGGUGAAAUUCGUAGAUAUUAGGAAGAACACCGGUGGCGAAGGCGGCCCACUGGAUCGGUACUGACGCUGAGGUGCGAAAGCGUGGGGAGCAAACAGG